AGCUCUGACACGCGGGGCGUCAUGGCUCCGCUCUGCGGCUCGGAGGGCACUGUGGCCGGGCUGCCAGGUGGCACUGCGGCCGCGCGGAAGCAGCAGGAAGCGAGCGAGCGGCCGGAGCGGAAGCUAAAAUGGCGCGCCCGCUCUUGCGCUUGGCUGCGGGGUUCUGGCCUUCGUUCCUCCCUCAUCAUUCCCCGCACACCCGGGGGAGUUUCUCCAAGGCCGUUUCUCACAGAAAGCGGCUUCAUUACCUGACGGAGGAGAGAGGCCGCCGCAACUCCCCGCACUACCGGAUUUACUUCAAAACCUCACAUGGGAAAUACAUUUCUCCGUUCCACGACAUCCCCCUCUACGCCUCUGAUCAACAGAUUCUCUUCAAUAUGGUUGUGGAGGUUCCUCGCUGGUCAAAUGCCAAGAUGGAGAUAGCCACAAAGGAAGUGCUAAACCCCAUUAAACAGGACAUGAAGAAAGGCAAACUACGAUAUGUGGCCAAUGUUUUCCCACAUAAAGGCUACAUCUGGAACUACGGCGCUCUGCCACAGACCUGGGAGGAUCCCAAUCACACAGAUAAAGACACCAACUGCCGUGGAGACAAUGACCCCAUAGACGUGUGUGACAUUGGCACCAGGGUGUGCUCCUCAGGUCAGGUGAUCCAGGUGAAGGUGCUCGGGAUUCUGGCUCUGAUUGAUGAAGGAGAGACAGACUGGAAAGUCAUCGCCAUUAACGCUGAUGAUCCUGAUGCUAAUAAACUUCAUAGUAUUGAGGAUGUUCGUGUGAACAGACCCGGUCAUCUGGAGGCAACAGUGGACUGGUUUAGAAAAUAUAAAAUACCUGACGGGAAACCGGAGAACCAGUUUGCCUUUAAUGCACAAUUUAAAGACAAGAACUUUGCUGUAGAGGUGAUUAAAUCCACACACAGCUGUUGGAAAGCUCUGGUGCAGAAACACACGCAGUGUGGAGAGAUCGUGUGUCAGAACUUGUCAGUGUGUGACAGCCCGUUUCAGUGCAGUGACGCCGACGCUGCUGCAGUUGUGAGAGCUACUGUAUACACCAGGCACGGAUGAGUGCUGAAUCAGCUUCACCUGAACUGCCUUCACAUCAUGAAGCUCACACGGUAGGAAAAAAUCCCGGACACAGAAGUCCUCGCCACUGCAGAGUUACCCUCAGUUCACACCUUGUUGCAGCAACACCAGGUUAGAUGGCGAGAUGUGUCUGUAGAACGCCUGGUGAUCGCAUACCAAAACAACUGUCGUAUGGGGAACUGAAGUCUGGCAAGCAUUCACACGGUGGUCAACGCAAACGCUUCAGGGACACACACACACACACACACACACACACACACACACACACACACACACACACACUGAAGAACUCUCUGAAAUCCUUCAACAUCAGCAUAGAUACAUGGGAACCAGCUGUCCGAGAUCGCUCUGCUUGGUGAUGGUUCAUUAAUUCUGGAGGCGUACAUGCUGAAAAGAAACUCAAAACCGAUGCGGGGGAAAAGCGGUGCCUACGCAAGAAGCGUGCAGCUAGUGGUGCCACUUCUGCGGCAGCUUUUCACGCUUGCCCAACUUGUGGGGACUGUUCCGUCCCCAGAUGGGCUUCAUCAGCCACUAACGCAAGCACAAGAUAUAACAACUCGGGGGUGGUAGUGGUCAUCAUCGCUCACGAUGAACACACACUAAGUUCUCCAACAUUCUCAUUCAGGCUGAGAACGUUUCAUACUUUUAAUCUCAAACUAGUUAAACUAUAUGAAGAAAAAUAUGUUUUUAAAUAAUAAUAUAAUUAAAAUACAACAGUGUGAGGGAUUGUGUUUUGAUUGCAGGCUUCAGAAUAUGGAGAGGCUUUACCACUUCCUGCCGAAGUGGACAAAUGGCAUUUCCUGUCCUGGUGAUCCUGAAAGGUGUGAGCUCCAUCCCAAAUCUCUCUCACACACCAGUAUUUAUUUGCCGAGUGGAAAUUUGUUCUUGUUUUCUAAGAGACACAAAUCUGCUUCAUUUCAUUAGUGAUUGUCUGUUUGUUUUUUGUCCUCCCCCCAAUCACCUCAAUGAUAAAAUCACUUCAGCAAUUAAUUAUUUAAUUUUGUAAUUAGCAAAUUCUAUUUUAUGCCAUGUCUGUUGUAUAAAUAUUUCAUUUAAAAAUGUUAUUUACUGACACCAGAGAAAGGAAUCUCAAAUGUUAACAUAAAAGUAGUGUUUGAGCUCUGAGACUUAAAAUUAAAGAACUUUAUUCUCUGAUUUCUUUUUCAAAGACAUGUGAUCAAAGAACAUUUAUAUUUCAAAUGUAUUAAAAGGAUGUCGUUGUGUUUAAUUUUUAUUUUGCUAAAUAAACGCUAUAAAUGUACUGUU